AUGAACGCUAGCGGCAGGCUUAAUACAUGCAAGGUUGAGGGGCAGCAUGAUAUACGCGAGUAUAUUGAUGGCGACCGGCGGACGGGUGAGUAAUAGGUAGGAGACCUACCUCAUACAGGGGGAUAGCAUAGAGAAAUCUGUGGUAAUACCCCAUGAGGUUAUAUGAAUAGAGGCAUAUAAUCAAAGCAUAAGUGAUUAUGCGGUAUGAGAGGGGCCUACUGACCAUUAGCUAGUUGGUGAGGUAAGGGCUCACCAAGGCGAAGAUGGUUAGGGGUUUUGAGAGAGAGACCCCCCCACAUUGGAACUGAGAGACGGUCCAGACUCCUACGGGAGGCAGCAGUAGGGAAUAUUGGGCAAUGGGCGAAAGCCUGACCCAGCCAUGCCGCGUGAAGGAAGACGGCCUUAUGGGUUGUAAACUUCUUUACUACGCGAAUAGAGGUUAGUACGAGAUACUAAUAGGAAGGUAGUGUAGUAAAAAGCACCGGCUAACUCCGUG
rnacentral:rRNA from 1 species